CAAUAGCGUAUAUUUAAGUUGUUGCAGUUAAAAAGCUCGGAGUUGGAUUUCGGUUAAGAGCGACCGGUCCGCCGUUUGGUGUGCACUGGUUGGUUUUAACUUCCUGUAGAGGACGUGCUCUGGGUUUAACGACCUGGACUCGGAGUCUACGUGGUUACUUUGAAAAAAUUAGAGUGUUCAAAGCGGGCUUACGCUUGAAUAUUUCAGCAUGGAAUAACACUAUAGGACUCCUGUCCUAUUUCGUUGGUCUCGGGACGGGAGUAAUGAUUAAGAGGAACAGUUGGGGGCAUUCGUAUUUCAUUGUCAGAGGUGAAAUUCUUGGAUUUAUGAAAGACGAACUUCUGCGAAAGCAUUUGCCAAGGAUGUUUUCAUUAA
rnacentral:rRNA from 1 species